rnacentral:rRNA from 1 species
GACGAACGCUGGCGGCGUGCCUAAUACAUGCAAGUCGAGCGGACUGAAUGGGAGCUUGCUCUUGUUCGGUCAGCGGCGGACGGGUGAGUAACACGUGGGCAACCUGCCCGCAAGACCGGGAUAACUCCGGGAAACCGGAGCUAAUACCGGAUAACACCGAAGACCGCAUGGUCUUUGGUUGAAAGGCGGCGCAAGCUGCCACUUGCGGAUGGGCCCGCGGCGCAUUAGCUAGUUGGUGAGGUAACGGCUCACCAAGGCGACGAUGCGUAGCCGGCCUGAGAGGGUGACCGGCCACACUGGGACUGAGACACGGCCCAGACUCCUCCGGGAGGCAGCAGUAGGGAAUCUUCCGCAAUGGGCGAAAGCCUGACGGAGCGACGCCGCGUGAGCGAAGAAGGCCUUCGGGUCGUAAAGCUCUGUUGUGAGGGACGAAGGAGCGCCGUUUGAAGAAGGCGGCGCGGUGACGGUACCUCACGAGGAAGCCCCGGCUAACUACGUG